AAUAGCAUCUUCCCCACGACUUCUACAUAAAUUAGCCAUGGAGCUCCACAAAUUGAGCUCCCAGAGGGGACCUGUCGAUUGUGUAUCUGCUGCUGAGGUGUGUUAACGGAUCUGUGGAAGAUCGAAAUAUUGGUUGCCAGUAAUAAUAAGCUUUCCUUCACCACCUGCAUCUUCAGUCUUCUACAGUAUCUGGCAAUGUGUCUGGUAGGUUGGAAAGGUUCCAAUAAACCAAUGAAAGAAAAUUUAUGAAAAUUAUGCACUAUUUGCACUCUAUGGAAAGCUUGUUGGGAUUUUUCACCAACCUAAUGUUUUAAAUUAGAGCUUUCAUAAUUAAAUAUUUGAUCUAUUUC